AGGAGAGUCAGGGAGAACUUGUUGUCUU
rnacentral:piRNA from 1 species